rnacentral:rRNA from 1 species
CUGCUGCCUCCCGUAGGAGUUUGGGCCGUGUCUCAGUCCCAAUGUGGCCGUCCACCCUCUCAGGCCGGCUACUGAUCGUCGCCUUGGUGGGCCUUUACCCCACCAACCAGCUAAUCAGACGCGGGCCCAUCUUGCACCACCGGAAUUUUUCACACCGGACCAUGCGGCCCUGUGCGCUUAUGCGGUAUUAGCACCUAUUUCUAAGUGUUAUCCCCCAGUGCAAGGCAGGUUACCCACGCGUUACUCACCCGUCCGCCACUAAAGA